GAAGACGGGAAGAAAAUCAGGCAAAUUAAGCCCCCAAAGCACACUGUAAUUUUCUAUCUCUGAACGGAUUUGUGAGAGCAUGGCUGAGUGAAGUUAGCAGAGCAUCGCCCCCCACACAAAGAUGGCGCGAGCAGAAUUUGUGAAAGCGGAUAGGAAGAGGAAGGACCAGCAAGACAGGACGGGCUGCAGUGCUGGGGAGCAGCUGGAGUCCAGAAAUGAUUUUUUUCGACGAAUUUAGGAUUUUGCCGCAGUGCACAUCUGCAGUCCCAGAAUCCUCCGGUAGCCACUAAAACACUUCUUGAGAACGGUAAACCGAGGAAGGCCCGGAGAACACGCAACUUCAAGCGUGAAGGAUGGAGCCAGCGUAACUAAAGGACCAGGCCACGGCCGCCUCCAUGGCCACCGCCUCCUGCCACCUUUCGGAUCCCGCUUUGCUCUGUGGUUGUGCGAGCGCUGCAAGCUUUCCACGGCGGCUCUCUGCGGAAUCUGCCCAGUGGGUCACUAGACGGCUUCUGUGUGGGAGAGUAAGUGACACACAGUCUCACAAGAGGCAUUUACAACUGCUUAGCCUGUUCAGCUGGAAAUUAACAAAAGGAUGGCACACCCCCGGCACGAUGUUUUACAAAUCAAAAGUCUGGGUCCAUAAAUAGCCCGCUUGACAAAUGUAGAACCAGAAGCCGAUUGUG